rnacentral:rRNA from 1 species
GAUUGAACGCUGGCGGCAUGCCUAACACAUGCAAGUCGAACGGCAGCGCGACUGGGGUAACUCAGUUGGCGGCGAGUGGCGGACGGGUGAGUAAAAUGUAGGAAUCUGCCCAGAGGUAGGGGAUAACUUGUGGAAACGCAAGCUAAUACCAUAUAAGCCCUAAGGGGGAAAGCGGGGGACCGAAAGGCCUCGCGCCUGUGGAUGAGCCUACAACGGAUUAGCUUGUUGGUGGGGUAAAGGCCUACCAAGGCGACGAUCCGUAGCUGGUCUAAGAGGAUGAUCAGCCACACUGGGACUGAGACACGGCCCAGACUCCUACGGGAGGCAGCAGUGGGGAAUAUUGGACAAUGGGGGGAACCCUGAUCCAGCAAUGCCGCGUGUGUGGAGAAGGCCUUCGGGUUGUAAAGCACUUUCAGUGGGGAGGAAGGGGAUGGAUUUAAUACAUUUAUUCAUUGACGUUACCCACAGAAGAAGCACCGGCUAACUCUGUGCCAGCAGCCGCGGUAAUACAGAGGGUGCAAGCGUCAAUCGGAAUGACUGGGCGUAAAGCGUGUGUAGGUGGUUAGAUAAGUUAGAUGUGAAAUCCCUGGGCUUAACCUGGGAACUGCGUUUAAGACUGUCUAGCUAGAGUACUGUAGAGGAUAGUGGAAUUUCCAGUGUAGCGGUGAAAUGCGUAGAUAUUGGAAGGAACACCAGUGGCGAAGGCGACUAUCUGGAUAGAUACUGACACUGAGACACGAAAGCGUGGGGAGCAAACAGGAUUAGAUACCCUGGUAGUCCAUGCUGUAAACUAUGAGAACUUGCUGUUGGAUGCAUAAAGGCAUUUAGUAGCGAAGCUAAUGCGUUAAGUUCUCCGCCUGGGGAGUACGGUCGCAAGACUAA